CCCAUCGUGCUCAGAGAAGGGCUGGCUGCACAGCAGUUGCCUCAAGGAAGGGCUCAGGCUGGAAGCUGGAAGGCAGAGAGGUUGGCAUUGAGCAUCACGACCGGGGAACAUUUAAUCCAAACCAUUCAGAGCAGAGAAAUUCCCGACUGCUGCUGUCUGGUCUGUGCUCCAAGCCCAUGCUUGUCCCCGCACCCAGAGAGAAAUGGAGGAGGGCGAGGAGGCCUUCACAGGGAUGUUGAAUGUCCUUCCACACCCCUGAAGAAUUCACGUCUCUGCCUUGCUCCCAGGUAAACCAAAGCAGAUGCCAAAAAACUGGAGCACCUCAAAUGGAGGCAAGGCAAAGGAGAUACCUUGGGGCUCGGAGAGACCCCACCUUCCCUCCCUCUUCCCCACCGCUGUCAUCUGCUUUCUGCUAACCCUGAAGGCAUCAUGGAGGGAGGACGAGAAAGGAAAGAUAUUGAAGCAAAUCCCAGGCUGGAGUCUGACGUUUCUUAAUACCAAACAUUGCCCAGCAUUAUGGAAGCCCAGAUGAUGCUGUACUCACCGAUGCU